UACGUAGGGUCCGAGCGUUGUCCGGAUUUAUUGGGCGUAAAGAGCUCGUAGGCGGUUCCGUAAGUCAGAUGUGAAAACUCAGGCUCAACCCGGAGACGCCAUCUGAUACUGCGGUGACUGGAGUCUGGUAGGGGAACACGGAAUUCCUGGUGUAGCGGUGAAAUGCGCAGAUAUCAGGAGGAACACCGAGUGGCAAGGCAGUGU
rnacentral:rRNA from 1 species